rnacentral:rRNA from 1 species
AACCGUAAGGUUUGCUGGACGAGAUGGAAGUGAUUAUGUCGGCAUGAGUAGCGAUAAAGCGGGUGAGAAUCCCGCUCACCGAAAAUCUAAGGUUUCCUGGGCUAGGCUCGUCCUCCUGGGGUUAGUCGGGACCUAAGCUGAGGCCGAAAGGCGUAGGCGAUGGAAAACAGGCUAAAUAUUCCUGUACCACUUAUAGCGCGUUCGAGCUAUGGGGUGACGCAGAAGUGAAAGGUCAGCCAGCGACUGGAAAUGCUGGUCUAAGCCGGUAGGGGGGUCGUCCAGGUAAAUCCGGAUGGCCAUAUACCCCGAGAGGCGAUGGGGAGCCGUCUAACGGCAUAAACUGACCCUAAUCAUGCUGCCAAGAAAAACCUCUAUGUGAGUUCUAUAGGUGCCCGUACCGCAAACCAACACAGGUAGAUGAGGAGAGUAUCCAAAGGUGCGCGAGUGAACCCUCGUUAAGGAAUUCGGCAAAAUUAUCCCGUAACUUCGGAAAAUGGGAUGCCCCUAGUAGGUGAAGCCCUUCGCGGGUGGAGCCCAAAGGGGCCGCAGAGAAACGGGCUGGGCGACUGUUUACCAAAAACACAGGUCUCUGCUAAGCCGUAAGGCAAUGUAUAGGGACUGACACGUGCCCGGUGCUGGUAAGUUAAGAGGAGGUGUUAGAUCCUUCGGGAUCGAAGCUCUGAAUCGAAGCUCCAGUAAACGGCGGCCGUAACUAUAACGGUCCUAAGGUAGCGAAAUUCCUCGUCGGCUAAAAACCGACCUGCACGAAUCGUGUAACGACUUGGCCGCUGUCUCAACGAGGGACUCGGUGAAAUUGUAGUUCCGGUGAAGAUGCCGGAUACCCGCGGCAGGACAGAAAGACCCCGUGAACCUUUACUAUAGCUUGGUAUUGGAUUUUGACACUGUAUGUGUAGGAUAGGUGGGAGGCUAUGAAGCGGGAGCGCUAGUUUUCGUGGAGCCGACCUUGAAAUACCACCCUUGCCUUGUUAAAAUUCUAACCUUGGUCCUUUGAUCAGGAUCGGGAACAGUGCCAGGUGGGUAGUUUAACUGGGGCGGUUGCCUCCUAAAGAGUAACGGAGGCGCCCAAUGGUUCCCUCAGCGCGGUCGGUAAUCGCGCAUAGAGUGUAAAGGCAUACAGGGAGCUUGACUGCGAGACCUACAAGUCGAGCAGGUGCGAAAGCAGGGCUUAGUGAUCCGACGGUUGCGCGUGGAAGCGCCGAAGCUCAACGGAUAAAAGGUACUCCGGGGAUAACAGGCUUAUUGCCCCCAAGCGCUCAUAGCGACGGGGCAGUUUGGCACCUCGAUGUCGGCUCAGCGUAUCCUGGGGCUGGAGAAGGUCCCAAGGGUUUGGCUGUUCGCCAAUUAAAACGCUACGCGAGCUGGGUUCAGAACGUCGUGAGACAGUUCGGUCCCUAUCCGCCGUGGGUGUAGGAUAUUUGAGAAGAUCUGACCCUAGUACGAGAGGACCGGGUUGGACGAACCUCUGGUCAACCAGUUGUUCCGCCAGGAGCAUCGCUGGGUAGCUACGUUCGGAAGGGAUAAACGCUGAAAGCAUAUAAGCGUCAAGCCCACUUCAAGACUAGAUAUCCCGUAGGGUUAACCUACCUAAAGGCCCCUCGUAGACUACGAGGUUGAUAGGUUGCAGGUGGAAGCGCAGCAAUGUGUGAAGCCGAGCAAUACUAAUUGGCCGUGAGGCUUGACCAU